rnacentral:rRNA from 1 species
AUUGAACGCUGGCGGCAGGCCUAACACAUGCAAGUCGAGCGGAAACGAUGGAAGCUUGCUUCCAGGCGUCGAGCGGCGGACGGGUGAGUAAUGCAUGGGAAUCUGCCUGAUAGUGGGGGAUAACCUGGGGAAACCCAGGCUAAUACCGCAUACGUCCUACGGGAGAAAGCAGGGGAUCUUCGGACCUUGCGCUAUCGGAUGAGCCCAUGUCGGAUUAGCUUGUUGGUGAGGUAAUGGCUCACCAAGGCGACGAUCCGUAGCUGGUCUGAGAGGGUGAUCAGCCACAUCGGGACUGAGACACGGCCCGAACUCCUACGGGAGGCAGCAGUGGGGAAUAUUGGACAAUGGGCGAAAGCCUGAUCCAGCCAUGCCGCGUGUGUGAAGAAGGCCCUCGGGUUGUAAAGCACUUUCAGUGGGGAAGAAAGCCUUGGGAUUAAUACUCCCGAGGAAGGACAUCACCCACAGAAGAAGCACCGGCUAACUCCGUGCCAGCAGCCGCGGUAAUACGGAGGGUGCGAGCGUUAAUCGGAAUUACUGGGCGUAAAGCGCGCGUAGGCGGUCUGAUAAGCCGGUUGUGAAAGCCCCGGGCUCAACCUGGGAACGGCAUCCGGAACUGUCAGGCUAGAGUGCAGGAGAGGAAGGUAGAAUUCCCGGUGUAGCGGUGAAAUGCGUAGAGAUCGGGAGGAAUACCAGUGGCGAAGGCGGCCUUCUGGACUGACACUGACGCUGAGGUGCGAAAGCGUGGGUAGCAAACA